GGUUGUAUAGUGUAGCGGUCAUCACAUCGGAUUCUGACGAAACUCAUCUUCUGAGCAUUCCGGUAACCCCGGUUCGAUUCCGGGUACGACCU